AAAAAGUGCGGGGGCCAAUACAGAAUCUCUUUCGUCGCAAUUUUGCUCACAGUCCAUAGAUCCACGGCGACGAAGCUAGAGGUCAUACAAAAAGAUGGGUAAAUGAAGAUACCGAGUUCCAAAUUUGGGUUCCUUCAAGAAAUUACAUCGGUUGUGCGCGUGGGGCUUUUCCUUCAUUUUUCAACAUGGCUUCAAAAACGUAUAUCCAGGUAAUUUCUACUUCGAUGAUACUCGAUUCCUCGAAAAUGUUGUUCUAAAGAACGCUGAUAUAAAGCUCUACAUGAGACAGUUACGUCACGGCAUCUUCAAGUUUCCACAUCUUCAACAAGACCAAUAGUGAUUAAAUGGAAGAUUACGGACAAGCGCAAGACCCUAAAAUAGAGCCUUUUCCGUUAAGUAAUCUCCUCUCUCGUCUAUUUUUAUAGAAAUCACUCAAGAGGAAAUUCUGCUAGGAUAGGUUAGUCAUCUAAUUGGUCUUGGUUAGCCGCAAUGUCUCACAAUUUGCACGUCGGGUGAUCCUUCUAGAAAUGGCGUUAAAUUCCAUACAAAAACAAAAACUAACGGCCCUGAAAACAUAAAUGUUUUCUAGAAGUCCUGAUCAAUUUUAGAUAUACCGAUAGCUAGAAUUUGAAGUCAUCCACUUUUGGUGGCAGUGAUGCGAUUAAUUUAAAGUGUAAACGAGACAAGCUUUUAAUAUUAAGGAUGAAGUAAAGCUUAUUGUGAAUCGUUCCUAUUUUCAAGGAUAAUUAUUUAUAACUUUUAUAUAAAUAUCAUUAAUUACUUUAUAAAAAUAAAUUAAAUUUACUCAUUUAGUAUAAACAGCAUUUUAUAACUCCUUUAAUAAAAUUUAUUGGUAUUUAUUUAAG